rnacentral:rRNA from 1 species
UACGUAGGUGACCAGCGUUGUCCGGAUUUACUGGGCGUAAAGAGCGCGCAGGCGGUCGUUCAAGUCGAGUGUGAAAGCCCCCCGGCUCAACUGGGGAGGGUCAUUCGAUACUGAUCGACUUGAAGGCAGGAGAGGGAAGUGGAAUUCCCGGUGUAGUGGUGAAAUGCGUAGAUAUCAGGAGGAACACCGAUGGCGAAGGCAGCUGCCUGGCCUAGAACUGACGCUGAGGUGCGAAAGCGUGGGGAGCAAACAGG